CGUAAAACGCCCAACUUAUCAAGAGUUGACCUCGAAUCAGGUAGGAAUACCCGCUGAACU
rnacentral:rRNA from 1 species